rnacentral:misc_RNA from 1 species
GGGGCGCGGUCCUCCUUGGAUGUUAUCUUAAGUGUUAUCUCUACAUCUUGAUAAUUUUGCUUGCUGUUUUUUUGUUUUUGAACUUGUAUGAUGGUUCGAAAAGGUUUACAAACAUUUUUUUUUUUUUGUAUAAAAAAUUCAUGUUCUACCAAAAUUUGUCGUACAUGUGUACAUAUAACAUGUUUGGGUUACAAAAGCUUUGCCUUCCAGGUGUAUGCAUUUGUAAUAUCAUCCAUUGUGUAACUGCAUAGUGGAAUUUACUCCAAUGGCAAGGUAAAUCUUGUCUUGUAUGACUGGCCUUACCGGAUUAAUGGGCAUUCAUAUUCUGUUUGAUAUUAUUUUUCUCCAAUGAUUUGAAUGAUUUUCUCUUUGGUAAGUCAUAAGUGUGGUUUAAUAAAAUUGUGCUGUUGGUCCAGUGAUGCUUCAGUGCAUUUCUAUGAAAUUAACCUCAAUGAUAGCAGUCUGUUGUCCAUAAUGCUUGAUAAUAUACUUGUUGGAAUACCGUUGUCAUUACAUAUUGGCCAUGUUAAUUACUGAUUGAUUUAGGUAUGGGGAUUUUAUCUUACAAUUUGUUUAUUGGAGUUCUGUAGUCCUUUCAUUUCUUCAUUUUAUUUUGUCCAUCAUUUUCAGUAUUAUUUUUGUUUGUUUGCUAUGCUUCUCUUAUCAGUUAUACUCUUCUCCUUACAGUUUAUAUUUCUAGGAAAUUAAUAAAUACUUUAAUUUUGUAACAUUAAGGAUGCUUUUCUUUUCCUAUAUUAUUGAGCAUCCCUUGGAAUAUAGAAACAUUCAGGUUAUUAGUGUUAGAACUUUUAUUGACGUCUAAGAUAUAUUUCUAGUUACCAGGCUGUUUUCUUGCCAACAGAGAGGCUGUUAUCAUUUCAUACUAAUUUAAUGCUGUAUGUGGUGAGUAAAUAGCAUAGUUAGUAAAGGUGCCAUGAGCAAAAAGGCGCCUAAGGGUCUUGGAGCGUAGGCACAAGGCGCAGGUGUGUGCCUGAGUAAGGCAAGAUGCAAAAAAUAAAAUAAAAUAUAAAAUAAUUAUCUAUAUCAAUACCAUAUAAUAUUUAACAAUAAAAACUAGACAAGUAACAAUAUUUUUGCAAUCCAAAUAACUAAAACCAAAUUAUUAUAGAUAUAAAUGUCUUAAGAAUCAUACUAUUUUCCAAAUUCUAACUAGUAAAUAAAUGUGAAUAAUCCAAUUGAACAAAAUUGAACAUUUAACUGAAGACUUGAAUAUUAAACUAGAUCAAACAUAUGAUUAAUCUUUGCUUAAUCCAAAAGACCCAUGAAAAAUUUAGCAAAUGAUUUUCACAAAUAUAUACAUAAAAAACAAACUUCAAAAAUUGGGAUCAAUGAAUCAUUAAAAGCAAUGUUAUAACAACAGCACUUGAUACACCUUCAUUAUCUUCCACAAUAACUAUGCUGAAAAAAUAAUGGCAAAAAGGAAUUAGAAACAGAUUCUGAAAUAAAAAAAAUAAAAUGCAAGCUUCUUCUUCUUCCCCUUCUUCCAAUCUUGCAUUUGGUUAUGCAAUCAAAUAAUUUGCUGUUUGACUCUUUCCAUGUCGAGCACAUGUCAGUGUUCUUACAAGAUAUUCAAAGUGAAUUUGUUUUUUUGGGCAAUGUGGUUUAUCUAUAGGGACUGGUGAUUGCAAUGUGGUUUAUCUAUAGCGACUGGUGAUUAUGGGACUAUUGACUGUAAUAAGCCUUUUGGACAGGUUUCGAGGGUUUUUCUGGAAGGCAGCCAGAAUAGGUAGGGUAUCUUAUCUGAUUGCAUUAUCAUUACUUAAUGAACUAGUGACAAAUAUAUCAUAUAUUCAUCUUUCUAUUGGCAUUUUCUAUUUCUAGACAACCUUUUCGUGUGGCAAAUAAUGUAUUCCUUUUCCUCCCUAUAGUUGAAUUAGUUAUUAGUGUGGACCUAAAUUUUUCAAGAUAAAUUGCAAUUCCUUUGAAUUACAUAAAAUUUUUUAAACUUUGCAUAUAAAGAGAGUUACCCUGAUCCAUGUAUUAUUAUAAUAAGUGGAAAAUUGUCAUGCACAUUGUGCAUCUUUGGACACUAAAGUCACGAGACAGCAUUUUAUAGGAUCGAUGAAAAAAAAUAAAAUCUAAAAUAGUAGAAGAGUUUAAUUUUUGAACUAAAUAGAGAUGAAAGGAUUGAAGAUUAGGAUUCAAUCUCUGGAUAUUAAUUCAGUUGGUAGCUACUGGGUGGGGUAGGGCAGGAAAGCAGUUCACAUGCAAUUUCCAAAUGCAUACUUGUAAUUUGUUGAUUGUGCUGUCUUCAGGCAAAUAUGAGAUCAUAGGAAUCAUGACUUCAUGUUAAUAGAAUCUCUUAGAGAUUUCCAUCAGUUUGAGUAGCUUUCCUAGCUGAUGAUUAAAAUCUAUGUUGUUCAAAGCAAUUAAUUGGGAUUAAAGGAAUGGUAGUGAAGUUUCGUGGGAUUUAACUUGUGUAGGGUUCUGCAUUAAAUUGUUGAUAGUAUGUGUAAUAUAAUGAUUUACAUUUUAUUUUAUGCAACCAUGAAUUCUAGUAUGCAAUUAUAAUUUGAUUUAGAAUUCUAAGAUUUCUAAUUAUUGAGGUUGGAAAUACAUUCAAUUAGAACAACAUUAUUGAGCUUUGGAUAAAAGCUUAAUAUGGUACUGCUGAGGUUUGGAUGCUCUGAUUAUAUAACAUGGAAAUACGCAAAAAUGACAUUGUUUUGUAAAUCUUGUAAAAACAUGACCGACUGUUAGGCUCGUGCGCGUGUCACUAAUUUGGCAACUAAUUUAUAUUCAGAAAUCAAACUUUUAGUCAUGUAAAUCAUGUGAAAUAAACCUACAACUCAAAUUGUCUUCUGAUAGUGUCUAUGUUUAUUCUGAUUGUCAUGAACUUCUAAUUGCAUAUGCUAGCAUGAAGUACAAUCUGACAGCUUGUACGUGUGCUGAAAUAGGUGAGCGGUUGAGCCCCUGGGUGGCUGUGGGGUGCUUCACAAUGGGUGUGUCGAUAAUAUUUUUCUGAGGAAGAAGAAUCUUAUUUGUGUAUUUGGAAGUAAGCUCCGUUUUUUAUUUGUACGGGUAAAUAUGCCACUCAUUGGAAUUUGAUGUCAUUCAAAUCAUUUCUGUGAUAAGAAGUGUAUUGAUAACCAUUGUUUCAUUAUGAUAUUAUGAACUUGUUUUGAAGGCAUUCUUUGGCAAAAAUGUUUGUUGUUGAUUAUAUUAUUUAAAAUAUGACUACUAGAUUACUGGAUACUGAGGAGUCUUUCAAUCCAUGCGAAAUUGAG